UGGGGAAUCUUGCACAAUGGGGGAAACCCUGACGCAGCGACGCCGCGUGGGUGAUGAAGGCCUUCGGGUUGUAAAGCCCUGUUGGAGGGGAAGAAAGGGCGUGUAGCUAAUAUCUGCACGCAUUGACGGUACCCUCUGAGGAAGCACCGGCUAACUCCGUGCCAGCAGCCGCGGUAAUACGGAGGGUGCGAGUGUUAUUCGGAAUUACUGGGCGUAAAGAGCACGUAGGCGGAUAGACAAGUCAGAUGUGAAAGCCCGGAGCUUAACUCCGGAACUGCAUUUGAUACUGCCUGUCUUGAGUGUGGUAGAGGGGGGUGGAAUUCCCGGUGUAGAGGUGAAAUUCGUAGAUAUCGGGAGGAACACCAGAGGCGAAGGCGACCCCCUGGGCCAUAACUGACGCUGAGGUGCGAAAGCGUGGGGAGCAAACA
rnacentral:rRNA from 1 species